rnacentral:rRNA from 1 species
GCUAUACAUGCAGUCGAGCGGACAGAUGGGAGCUUGCUCCCUGAUGUUAGCGGCGGACGGGUGAGUAACACGUGGGUAACCUGCCUGUAAGACUGGGAUAACUCCGGGAAACCGGGGCUAAUACCGGAUGCUUGUUUGAACCGCAUGGUUCAGACAUAAAAGGUGGCUUCGGCUACCACUUACAGAUGGACCCGCGGCGCAUUAGCUAGUUGGUGAGGUAACGGCUCACCAAGGCGACGAUGCGUAGCCGACCUGAGAGGGUGAUCGGCCACACUGGGACUGAGACACGGCCCAGACUCCUACGGGAGGCAGCAGUAGGGAAUCUUCCGCAAUGGACGAAAGUCUGACGGAGCAACGCCGCGUGAGUGAUGAAGGUUUUCGGAUCGUAAAGCUCUGUUGUUAGGGAAGAACAAGUGCCGUUCAAAUAGGGCGGCACCUUGACGGUACCUAACCAGAAAGCCACGGCUAACUACGUGCCAGCAGCCGCGGUAAUACGUAGGUGGCAAGCGUUGUCCGGAAUUAUUGGGCGUAAAGGGCUCGCAGGCGGUUUCUUAAGUCUGAUGUGAAAGCCCCCGGCUCAACCGGGGAGGGUCAUUGGAAACUGGGGAACUUGAGUGCAGAAGAGGAGAGUGGAAUUCCACGUGUAGCGGUGAAAUGCGUAGAGAUGUGGAGGAACACCAGUGGCGAAGGCGACUCUCUGGUCUGUAACUGACGCUGAGGAGCGAAAGCGUGGGGAGCGAACAGGAUUAGAUACCCUGGUAGUCCACGCCGUAAACGAUGAGUGCUAAGUGUUA